rnacentral:rRNA from 1 species
GCUACUUUCGGUUCGGGGAACCCCUGGAACGGGGGCUAAUACCGGAUAGGUCGAAAGAUGAAAGGUUAACUGCCGGAAAAGGAGCUCGCGUCUGAUUAGCUAGUAGGUGUGGUAAGAGCGCACCUAGGCAACAAUCAGUAGCUGGUCUGAGAGGAUGAGCAGCCACACUGGGACUGAGACACGGCCCAAACUCCUACGGGAGGCAGCAGUGGGGAAUUUUCCGCAAUGGGCGAAAGCCUGACGGAGCAAGACCGCGUGGGGGAGGAAGGCCUUUGGGUUGUAAACCCCUUUUGUUAGGGAAAAAAAAAAUGACGGUACCUAACGAAUCACCCUCGGCUAACUCCGUGCCAGCAGCCGCGGUAAUACGGAGGAGGCAAGCGUUAUCCGGAAUUAUUGGGCGUAAAGCGUCCGUAGGUGGCCCGGCAAGUCUGCUGUCAAAAACCACAGCUCAACUGUGGAAAGGCAGUGGAAACUGCAAGGCUAGAGUGCGGUAGGGGUAAAGGGAAUUCCCAGUGUAGCGGUGAAAUGCGUAAAGAUUGGGAAAAACACCGGUGGCGAAAGCGCUCUACUGGGCCGCAACUGACACUGAUGGACGAAAGCUAGGGGAGCGAAAGGGAUUAGAUACCCCGGUAAUUCUAAGG